ACCGACCCAUCAGGAGCUCCCCAUCUUUGGGACCCCAUUAGGAAUCUCAAAGCUAAUCUUUUGAGCUAAUUGUCGUCACCACAUUUAAAGGUGGAACAAAUCCUAGAUUCUAUACAACCUAAACCUCUAUUUUUACAUCUGAGAAAACUAAAGUCCAGGCAUGAGAAGUGACUCUUCCAGGGUCACGUAGCGAGAGUGUGAGCACUGGAGCCCCAGCUCCUCCCUCAGGUCUCCCUCCUCUUCCCUGCGCUGAGACUUAGUCACCAGCCACCAGGGCUGCAUAGACUUCCCCACCCCAAAGGCAUUCUUGUUAUCACAGAUACUUCUAGGAGGUAAUGUUGCUCAUUUAGGUUCAAAGGAAUGAAUCUUUGGUGUGAUGCUUCAAGCAACGCGCCCAGCUCUGGGGAAAUACCUGGGCAUUGUGGUCCCACAGGCAGACCAGGUGGGUAACUAACCCCCUGCCCAGAUUGGAGCUGGCCUGAGCCCCAGCUGCAGAGCGGGGAGUGGAGAGUAGCUGAGAGUUUCACAUACGUUGAUUCAACCUCACUGAAACUUCACAGUGAAGGCGACAUGAACCCCACGUUGCUGAUGUUUCAGGAGGGACGAGAAGCUUCCCUAGGCAUGAAGGUGACAGAAUUGGGGUCUGCUCUCAGGCCACUUCCUCCUGGGCAGCAGACGCCAUCCCCGCAGCCUACCCCAUCUGUCUUUCUUCCCUCAAGGCCCUGUGCAGCCCCACAGUGGAAGAUUUGCUCUUUCCCAGGUCAAUAACAGCCCAUUAGGAGGCCUCUGUUUAAUAAACCAUUGAUGUUAAAUUAUUGACGGGAUGGGAGAGUGCCAUGAAGACUCAGACGGACAGAAGUAGGGAGGGUGUCCGACAGAGAGGAAGGGCCAAUAAAAGAACAUUAACUAAAUAUGCACGAGCAAGACAUCCUCUUGGGCGUGACCGCACAGGCUUUAUAGCAAUCACAUUAUGGCCGGUGUCCCCUCCUUACAGAGGAACCUGAGGCUCAGAGAGAUAAACAGCCACUGCGGGGGCUAACUGGGGUCCGACAGGCCCUUUCCCUGGCACUCCCCACGGUGCCGCCCGCAGCGGGGCAGGAGGGAGAAGCGACAGAGAACGCUGCCCGGGAGGGGAGAGCCAGGAGCCCAGGUCAGACAGGGCUCGGGCCCCGGAGACCUGGCGAGUUUGCUUCUGAGAAACAUCGUUUCUCUCAUGAGCUUUACUCAUGACAUUUUUCACCAAACUUUAUAACGUGGAGUCACUUUGCUAUGCCCUCACAUGACCGAAAUCUCUCUUCUUCUUCCUCUUCCUGCUCUUCUUCCUCCUCCCACAACCCCCCACUUUUCCCAUUGUACUAAGGGAUUAGGGCCCCGCCCUUAUGACUUCAUUUAGUUUUACCGCCCGAAGACCCUGUGUCCAGAUACAGUCACCCUGGGGACAGUGAAGGAGCUCGACAUAUGAACUUGCGGGGGGCACGCGGUUCAGUCCAAGGAAGGAAUUUAAUAACGGCCUCAUAAAAGGCCUUCAGCAUCCCGCAUUCCUCUUUAGGAAACCUAGCAAAGGCCUUCACCAUCCUCGCUCCAUCCGGGAGCCCCUUAAAGGGUCAUUUUGCUACAGCUCCUCCAUUGACAAUGAUUUUCUCUGAUUGACACUAAUUUUCUCACUUGUCUUCUCUUCCUGGAAGCCUCAUUCCAAGCCAGGUCUCUGCACAGGCUGCCCUGUUGACACCGUGUCACAGCUGGGAGCCGGAGCCUGGGGCGCGGCACUGGCUGCGGGAGACAGGCCUGUGACGGGCUGCAGAGUUCGGCCACGUCCCUUGCUUGUGACGCAAGCAGACGUUUGGGAAGGUGCUUGCAGACCGGGUCCGCUUGCUUCUGCAGUGAGCCGUCGCCAUGGGAACACGCCUCAGCUGCCUGCUGGAGGGUCAGGAACGCAUGCAGUGGGGCCGAGCUGCCCUCCUUGUCCCAGUUCCUGAGGGUCCGGAGUCUGGGAGUGGCUCGGCUGGGCAGUUCCGAUUCGGGAUGUGUCAUGAGGUUGCAGACACACAGCUUGAGCCACGGUCAUCUGAAGGCUCGACUGGAGCUGAAGGAUCCUUUUCCAAGGUGGCUCGUUCACAUGGCUGGUGAGCUGGAGCCACCCAAGGGCUUAAGUUCCUCACUAUGGGGGCCUUCUAACAGGGCCACCUGACUGCCAUCACAACACACCCCCAAUGAGGGAAGUAAUCAUCAUCUUACACAAACACAUAUAAAAUCACAGCUGAGAUGAGCACAAUACGAAAGAUGGGUUUUUUUGCUCAUAAGGGUACAAGUAAAGCAAGGAAGUCAUGGAAGACUUCCCAAGGAGGUGAUGCCUGGGCUGAGCUCUGGGGGAUGAGCUCUUCCAACCAGGCAUACAGAGGACGGGAGGGUGUUGCAGGAACAGGGACCAACAUGUGCUAAGGCUCUGGAGUAGGAAACAAUAUAAAUCAUUCUAGAACCUAAAUGAAGGCCAGUGAGGCUGUGAACAGAAUAAGAGCGGGGUCAGGUUGUUGGGGGAUUCGGCUGGAGAAGUGGAGAGGGAAGAGCCAGACAAGAAGACAGGACGCAACAUCCAGCCCUUUGCAUUUGUGUCACGGACAAAACAUCUCAACAUAGCUUUUUACAUACUCCCAUUUCAACUUUUACGUCCUAAGUAACAAUGCCACCACCUUACCGUGAGCACACUGGAACUCAGUAGGGCUAAGCAAAUAGGUUCAAGUCACAUUGCAAGACUGAGACUAAGGUUAGGCUUAUUUUCUCACUAAAGACCCACAUUAUGCCACCUCUCCAAAGAGAAAGCACCCCUUCCUAACUUCUCUUUUCCUGUUUAUAUGCUUCUCCGGGGUCACCAGUGUUUCUUUACUAACCAUGGUUGCUCUCACGGAGAUGGACACAAUUCCCUGUCAUAGAAAGCUUCCCUCUCUCCCUGCUCACAUCUCCCCUUAGCCUUCCUGCCCCGCAUCCUGCCCUCAGCUAGCACCAGGGGCUGCACUUCCAUCAGGAGUAACAGGUCAGGCAAGCUCGGAGCCCACGGCACAGGCGGUCACCUGGCUUCCUCCAUCUCCACUCCAGAUGUGUCCCCAGCAGUCCCCAGGGCUUCCGGAAAC